AAGUCGUAACAAGGUCUCCGUAGGUGAGUAACAAUCAAAAAAAAAUCCGUUCAUUGUGAAUCUUUGCUGACAUUUUAUUUCUAGGUGAACCUGCGGAGGGAUCAUUAAAGAGUGAAGGCGAUCUUAACGAAAGCCGACCUCCAACCCUAUGAAUUCUAAACUUUUGUCGCCUCGGGGUCCGCUUGACCAGCUGUAAUCACCUCUGACGAGGUCUCCCCAGAAGGACAUUUAAACUCAUUUUAUUACCUACAGUCAGAGUAAUUUGGUUAAGAAAUUAUAACAAAA
rnacentral:misc_RNA from 1 species